rnacentral:lncRNA from 1 species
AGGAUGAUUUGGUGGGAAUGGGCUUCCCCUCUCCUUUAUAAAUUCCGAGAUGCCUCCCAGGCUCGAACCCGGACAUGAGAGCCGCAGGCCGGCCCCAACCAUUUGGCGAACCAACUUGGGACUUAGGAAUGGCAGAGGACAUUUGGAAGAAACACUGCUGGUUUGGAGCUCCAUGGAAGAAGAAAAGAAUUAAAGAAAAUUCAUACCGGAGAAGGAAACACAGAGACAAAAAAUGGAGCAGACUGAAGGAAAGGCCAUCCAGAGACUGUCCCACCUUGUGAUUCUUCCCAUCUGCAGACACCAAACCCUGACACUAUUGCUGAUACCAAGACGUACUCCCAGACAGGAGCCUAGUAUGGCUGUCCUCGG